rnacentral:rRNA from 1 species
GAUGAACGCUGGCGGCGUGCCUAAUACAUGCAAGUCGAGCGAACAGACGAGGAGCUUGCUCCUCUGACGUUAGCGGCGGACGGGUGAGUAACACGUGGAUAACCUACCUAUAAGACUGGGAUAACUUCGGGAAACCGGAGCUAAUACCGCAUAAUAUAUUGAACCGCAUGGUUCAAUAGUGAAAGGCGGUUUUGCUGUCACUUAUAGAUGGAUCCGCGCCGCAUUAGCUAGUUGGUAAGGUAACGGCUUACCAAGGCAACGAUGCGUAGCCGACCUGAGAGGGUGAUCGGCCACACUGGAACUGAGACACGGUCCAGACUCCUACGGGAGGCAGCAGUAGGGAAUCUUCCGCAAUGGGCGAAAGCCUGACGGAGCAACGCCGCGUGAGUGAUGAAGGUCUUCGGAUCGUAAAACUCUGUUAUUAGGGAAGAACAAAUGUGUAAGUAACUAUGCACGUCUUGACGGUACCUAAUCAGAAAGCCACGGCUAACUACGUG